rnacentral:tRNA from 1 species
GGGCCUUUAGCUCAAGUUGGUGAGAUGCUACGGACUUUUUAAUCCGCAGGUCCCGGGUUCGAGCCCCGGAGGGCCCA